rnacentral:rRNA from 1 species
UACAGAGGUCUCGAGCGUUGUUCGGAUUCAUUGGGCGUAAAGGGUGCGUAGGUGGCGUCGUAAGUCAGGUGUGGAAUCUCGGGGCUCAACCCCGAAACUGCACUUGAUACUGCGAUGCUUGAGUACUGGAGAGGAGAUUGGAAUUUACGGUGUAGCAGUGAAAUGCGUAGAUAUCGUAAGGAAGACCAGUGGCGAAGGCGAAUCUCUGGACAGUUACUGACACUGAGGCACGAAGGCCAGGGGAGCAAACGGG